AUUGAACGCUGGCGGCAGGCCUAACACAUGCAAGUCGAACGAGUGGCGGACGGGUGAGUAAUGUCUGGGAAACUGCCUGAUGGAGGGGGAUAACUACUGUAAACGGUAGCUAAUACCGCAUACCAUCAGAUGUGCCCAGAUGAGAUUAGCUUGUUGGUGGGGUAACGGAUCACCAAGGCGACGAUCCCUAGCUGGUCUGAGAGGAUGACCAGCAACACUGGAAAUGAGCCACGGUCCAGACUCCUACGGGAGGAAGCAGUGGGGAAUAUUGCACAAUGGGCGCAAGCCGGAUGCAGCCAUGCCGCGUGUAUGAAGAAGGCCUUCGGGUUGUAAAGAACUUUAAGCGGGGAGGCGUGACCCGCAGAAGAAGCACCGGCGAACUCCGUGCCAGCCGCCGCGGUAAUUC
rnacentral:rRNA from 1 species